AGCUUUUCUGGCCUUUUGGCUUAGACCAAGUGUAGUAUCUGUUCUUAUCAGUUUUGAUUACUGAUCGUUGUCCACGAACAACAUCCAAUCAAAUCUUAUCUUUCAUUGCCAGGGUGUUCAGUUCUUGGGCUUGCCCUCCUGCCUCCCAAGAUGUCCGUGCUAUCUCACUUCCAGCACGGUACGUCAGUGGCGC
rnacentral:snRNA from 2 species